GGACGCAAGUCUGAUCCAGCCAUGCCGCGUGAAGGAUUAAGGCCUUCUGGGUUGUAAACUUCUUUUAUAGGGGACGAAAAAAGGGCUUUCUAGCUCGACUGACGGUACCCUANGAAUAAGCACCGGCUAACUCCGUGCCAGCAGCCGCGGUAAUACGGAGGGUGCAAGCGUUAUCCGGAUUCACUGGGUUUAAAGGGUGCGUAGGCGGGCAGUUAAGUCAGUGGUGAAAUCUUCGAGCUCAACUCGGAAACUGCCAUUGAUACUAUCUGUCUUGAAUAUUGUGGAGGUGAGCGGAAUAUGUCAUGUAGCGGUGAAAUGCUUAGAUAUGACAUAGAACACCAAUUGCGUAGGCAGCUCGCUACACAAAUAUUGACGCUGAGGCACGAAAGCGUGGGGAUCAAACAGGAUUAGAUACCCUGGUAGUCCACGCCCUAAACUAUGAUUACUCGACAUAUGCGAUACACUGUAUGUGUCU
rnacentral:rRNA from 1 species